rnacentral:rRNA from 1 species
UCAGAGGUGAAAUCCAGCAGCUCAACUGUAGAAUUGCCUUUGAUACUGGUAGUCUUGAAUUAUAUGGAAGUAGAUAGAAUGUGUAGUGUAGCGGUGAAAUGCUUAGAUAUUACANAGAAUACCGAUUGCGAAGGCAGGUCACUACGUAUAUAUUGACGCUGAUGGACGAAAGCGUGGGGAGCGAACAGGAUUAGAUACCCUGGUAGUCCACGCCGUAAACGAUGGACACUAGCUGUU